rnacentral:rRNA from 1 species
UACAGAGGGGGCAAGCGUUAUUCGGAAUUAUUGGGCGUAAAGGGCGCGUAGGCGGCUUGGCAAGUGGAAGGUGAAAUCCCUCGGCUUAACCGAGGAACUGCCCUCCAAACUGCUUGGCUUGAGUCCGGGAGAGGUGAGUGGAAUUCCCAGUGUAGCGGUGAAAUGCGUAGAUAUUGGGAGGAACACCAGUGGCGAAGGCGGCUCACUGGACCGGAACUGACGCUGAGGCGCGAAAGCGUGGGGAGCAAACAGG